rnacentral:rRNA from 1 species
UACGUAGGGUGCAAGCGUUAAUCGGAAUUACUGGGCGUAAGGCGUGCGCAGGCGGUUGUACAAGACAGAUGUGAAAUCCCCGGGCUUAACCUGGGAACUGCAUUUGUGACUGCACGGCUAGAGUGCGGCAGAGGGGGAUGGAAUUCCGCGUGUAGCAGUGAAAUGCGUAGAUAUGCGGAGGAACACCGAUGGCGAAGGCAAUCCCCUGGGCCUGCACUGACGCUCAUGCACGAAAGCGUGGGGAGCAAACAGG